CAGCAGCCGCGGUAAGACAGAGGAUGCAAGCGUUAUCCGGAAUGAUUGGGCGUAAAGCGUCUGUAGGUGGCUUUUCAAGUCCGCCGUCAAAUCCCAGGGCUCAACCCUGGACAGGCGGCGGAAACUACCAAGCUGGAGUACGGUAGGGGCAGAGGGAAUUUCCGGUGGAGCGGUGAAAUGCGUAGAGACGUGGAGGAAUACCGAUGGCGAAGGCAGCCCCCUGGGCCAGUACUGACGCUCAUGCACGAAAGCGUGGGGAGCAAACAGGAUUAGAUACCCGGGUAGUCCAUGUCUCUUAUAC
rnacentral:rRNA from 1 species